rnacentral:lncRNA from 1 species
GAUGCCCACUCUUGCCUCACAGUGCAGACUUUGCCUACCCCUGGGGUAGGAGCAUCACAUUGCUUCUCAUGAUUGUCAUCCCACGCUUCCAGUUGGCUUUGGUGUUGGGUGACUCUCAGGGCGGUGAACCAAUGGUCUCUGAGGGGCUCCUCUGGCAGGCCCAUGGGUUAUGAGGCUCAGCUGAGUAGCUGGCCUUUUUGCUCCAGUCUUUGAGUGAGCUCUCUUAAUGGCUUUUCUAUCACUCAUGAGCUUGAGUCUCAUCACUUGUUGUUUUUUUGUUUUAAAUGGUCACAUCACACUCCUAUGGCGACUCUACUGGGUGACCCAGAAAAUGUGGUCAUUGGUUCCGUCCUGUGAUGUUCAGUGCAUGAUCAGACGUGAGCUCUUUUGGACAGAUUGGAUGCUGUGGUGUCACUUACUGUUGUCAUUAUCCUGACUUUGCACAUAUUCUUGAUAUUCCAGUGGACUAAAGAGGAUGGACAUAGAACUUCCACCUCUGCUGUCCCUAACCUGUUUGUUCCAUUGAACACUAACCCAAAAGAGGUCCAGGAGAUGAGGAACAAGAUUCGAGAGCAGAACUUACAGGACAUUAAGACGGCAGGACCUCAGUCGCAGGUUUUGUGUGGUGUGAUGAUGGACAGAAGCCUUGU